GACAGAGGUGCCAAGCGUUAGGCGGAAUCACUGGGCUUAAAGCGUGUGUAGGCGGAUCGUUAAGUACCUUGUGAAAUCCCACGGCUCAACCGUGGAACUGCUCGGUAUACUGGCGGUCUUGAGCCACCUAGGGGCAACUGGAACAAGCGGUGGAGCGGUGAAAUGCGUAGAUAUCGGGAGGAACACCAGUAGCGAAGGCGGCACUCUGGGCCGGUACUGACGCUGAGGAGCGAAAGCGUGGGGAGCAAACAGG
rnacentral:rRNA from 1 species